rnacentral:rRNA from 1 species
CAGUAGCCGCGGUAAUACGUAGGUGGCAAGCGUUGUCCGGAAUUAUUGGGCGUAAAGGGCUCGCAGGCGGUUUCUUAAGUCUGAUGUGAAAGCCCCCGGCUCAACCGGGGAGGGUCAUUGGAAACUGGGAAACUUGAGUGCAGAAGAGGAGAGUGGAAUUCCACGUGUAGCGGUGAAAUGCGUAGAGACGUGGAGGAACACCAGUGGCGAAGGCGACUCUCUGGUCUGUAACUGACGCUGAGGAGCGAAAGCUAGGGGAGCAAAUGGGAUUAGAUACCCCGGUAGUCCCUGUCUCUUAUAC